AGACUCCAUCUCAAAAAAACAAAACAAAACAAAACAAAACAAAAAAAAGCAAUCAAGGUAAGCCCACUACUUAAAAGCCUGGCCUGACACCGCAUCUGGUCUUUCCCUUGCUCUCCUCUCUGCUUACUCAUAUCAGCCACACUCACUGUCUGUUUUUCUUACACAUGCCAGGCUCCUUCCCUCUGUAGACUUCCCUCAUGCUAUUUCAUCUGCCUGAAAUUUCUCACCCCAAUUCUUGGCCUGGCUCUUGUCUACUUGCCUCAGAGACUCCUCCCAGACCCUCCAGACUGGUUAGAUUCUGUUAUUGCAAUUUUCAUAAUUGUCAUUAAAUGGCCAUUGUUUACCAUGGGUAUUCCUUCCCAGUAAAGUCAAUGAGGAUAAGGACACUUUUUUUGUUUACUGCUGGAUCCCCAGUCUUCAGCACACGGAUAGGUAGUUAAUCAUUGUUGAAUGUAUGAAUUUAAUCUUCUUAACAAUUUUCUGUAAGGGAAAGUCAAGGCUUUGAGCUGUCAAGUGACACACUCCAGUUACACAGUCACACUCAGAGCAAGUUCAAACUCAGAUCUUUCAACUAGAGCCCUUUACUACCCAACACUGCUGCCACUUGGUUUCUGCAAGUUACCUAGCUAUCUACGCUCACCAUCAUUUUCCUUAGCUUAGACUAUGCCCUACUUUGCAUCCUGAUGGUCACAGUCUUUUCCUAAGCUCUGGACUUUUGCUUUCAUUCUUGAGCCUAUCCAAACCUUCCCUGUAAUAUCUAUACACAUUGUUUUACCUCUCUAGCUAGAAGAUGUUAUAUUUCAUCCUAUCAAGACAUCUUUUUUCUCCUGCAACCCUGCAAUUCCACACCUACAUACAUACUCAACAGGAACUUGUGCGUGUUUUCACCAAAAGGCAUGUACUGAAAUUGUCACAGCACACUAUUCAUAAUAACUCCAAACUGGAAACUAUCCACAUGUCCCUCCAAGUAAAACAGAUCAACUGUUUUGUAUUCAUAUGUCAUAUUAUAUAACAGAGAGAAUAAAUGCUCUAAACUUUACACAACACAGAUGAAUCUCACAAAAUGUGAUGUUGGAGGAAAUAAGUCAAGAACAUUUUAUGUGAUUCCACUUAGAAAAAGUUCAAAAACUGGCAAAACCAAUUUACAGUAUUAAAAGUCAGGAAUGGUGGCUACUCUUGAAAGAGUAGUGAUUGGAAGGGUAUGGUGGGGGCCCCAGGGUACUGACAAUGUUCUGUUUCUUGGUGUUUAGCUUAUAAAAAUUCAUCAAUAUAUACAUUUAUGAUACGUGCACUUAUAUUUAUGUAUAUUAUACUUUAAGAGGUUUUAUAAAACAACUUUGUGUCUGUUUGUUUCUGAUUACUUCAAUUUACAGAGACAAGUUUGCAACCUGAUGCCAUUGUCUGAUGUGCUGGUUACCCACUAUUUGCCCAGAGAGAGCUUCCUAUACAUGGAAAGAGACCACUCUGAAUUGUUUAAAGUCUAACUUGUGACAAAUGUGAAGAACACAAGGCUGCCUGCCAUAGACUGUCAGAAAUCCACUAAUGGCUGUGCUGAGUUCAUGGGCAGCUGUGGUUUGGGGCACAGAUUAACAAACACACAUGACACAGUCUGCUGAUCCAGAAAACGUGCUGGACUGGUUUCCCACCUCUCGUAUCUCUUAUCCAUCCUCUGUAGGACCCAGAGGCCCCCCACCUAUGGACUCAUCCUUGCUCUGAGUUCUGGGACCAAUCCUGUCCUUAGGGGGAAAUUUAAAGAGACAGAUUUGGGUAACUGAGGUGACCCAGGCUCAAGUCGGUUUAACUCAGAUACUUGGAAUGGUAGGCCUGGAAAGGAACCUUGGGAAGAUUGCUCUUUUUAGGAUUUACUCCUGUGCCACUGGUUUUGCAUUUUGUUUGAGAAAGAGAUACAGAGGAAGGUGAUGGGGGAAGGGCAUCAUAACCUGUGGAAAGAGCAUAACUUUGAAAUCACACUCCUGGGCCCACAUACUAAUGCCAUGGUUUAAUCAGCCAUGUGGCCUGGUAAUAUUCCUCCCUCAGCCUCUGUUUCCUCAUCUCUAUGGUAGGGAUAAAAGAACCAAAUUUAAAGUUGUGAACAUCAAAAACCACCCUGCUGGUCUAAGUCACUAUCAUCUCUUGUCUGUUAUUGCAAUAAUCUGCUAACAGUUCUCUCUGCUUCCUCCUUGCUCCACUGCCAUCUGUGGUCAACAUCAUAUCCAGAACAAUCCUGUUUAAAAAUGUAACUUGGAUGAUUAUUCCUUUUGCUUAAAACCUGAUCAUGCCUUUCAAUUUCUCACAGGUAAGAGCCAGAGUUCCUAUGAUCAUCUAAAACAGGCACAACCUUGCUCAACCUUGGCACUCUUGGCAUCCAGAGCCAGAUAAUUUUUGGUUAAAGAGGGUUGGCCUGUGCAUUAUAGGCCUAGCUUUCCAUGACAGACUUGCUGGCAUUUUCUUGGUUCCAGUUGACUAUAAUGCGAGCCAGCACUUGGAGUCAUAGAAACAAGAUACCAUCCGAUAAGCAAGCAACUACAAACGCCAAGAGUGAAAGAAGGCUUGGAGGCCUGGCUGGUUGUCAUUUUUAAGGUGUUAACGUGACAUUAGACAGUUUUUUUGGCAGGUAUCACAAUAGUGUCAGCAGGGAAUCAUCUGGUUACAGUAGUUAGUUGCCUGUGAUAAGAAAGGAUCAAGUAAUCAAGUGCGUAUUAUUUCUAUCUCAGGUUUUCUUCAUGCCUGUUACGGGGAGGGAUUCGGGGCUAUAUUCAGACACAUUCAAAGCACAAAGUUGUGAAAUUAGUCAAGCAACAGUCUGAAACUAAAUUUGUAAGUAGAAAUAGAUCUGUGGACACAAUCCUAAAGUGCUCACAUAAGCAAAACCAUUGAUUGAACCAUACUGCGUUUGUCUGAGAUAAAAUUGGAAAUCAUUGAUCAAGCUGUCAGUGGAAUCGAUUUGAACUGACACUGAUGACAUAAACAGAUACUGAAAGUUAUAAGAAUUUCAUGAAAAGCUCAAGGCAUUCAAAGACACUAGUUGAAAAUAUUUUUAUGAUUUGGUUUCUAAACAUCUGGUCAUGGCAUCCAGCCAACUCAUUCUCCUCCCUCUCCUUUCUUCUCAUUCUGACUUAACGUCUGAGUAUGAAGCUAACAAUGGAGGAGGAAGCAGUGCUGAUUGAUGGAAAGAAACAGAUAUUUGAAGCUACGUUUUGCGUAUCUAGAUCUAAUUGACUCUCCAGAACUCUAAGAUGUCAGAACAAACUUUGGGACAUAGCUGGUCUUGUGGCAAAGGAUAAAAAGAAAAGAUGAACUACACCUGGCUCUUCGAGUGUCUGAUAGAAGCAACACACCUUACCCACAGCCAUGUUACUUUAGCCAAAACAGGUCACGUGGCCACAGCUGGGGUCAGUGAAGUAGAGAGGGAUAACAUUUCUACAGAAGAAGGAUACCACAGGGAGGAGCAGCCGACAUUUUGAACAGAAAUAUAAUCUGCUAUAUAGGACAUUUCAUAAAGUAGGUCAAAUGUUUUUUGGAAAAAAAAAAAGAGAGGAAUCUAUGUAUGGUCAGAUAAAUGUAGGAACUCCUACAUAAUACCCAUCUCUAGAGCUAUGCAAUGUAAACCAGCACACUGAAGGUUCUCAGAAGUCCUGCAAUAGAAAAAUAAAAUCUAGAUUGUUUAACCCCAA